rnacentral:rRNA from 1 species
UACGUAGGUGGCAAGCGUUGUCCGGAUUUACUGGGCGUAAAGGGCGUGCAGGCGGUCUGUUAAGUGCAGGGUGAAAGCUCCCGGCUCAACUGGGAGAGGUCCUUGCAUACUGGCGGACUUGAGGGGGGUAGAGGAAAGUGGAAUUCCCGGUGUAGUGGUGAUAUGCGUAGAUAUCGGGAGGAACACCUGUGGCGAAGGCGGAUCUCUGGACAGUUACUGACACUGAGGCACGAAGGCCAGGGGAGCAAACGGG